rnacentral:rRNA from 1 species
UACAGAGGUCUCGAGCGUUGUUCGGAUUCAUUGGGCGUAAAGAGCGUGUAGGCGGCCACUUAAGUCCUGCGUGAAAUCCCUGGCGGCUCAACGCAGGCGGUCGUGGGAAACUGGGUGGCUAGAGUGCGGGAGAGGAGAGUGGAAUUCCUGGUGUAGCGGUGGAAUGCGCAGAUAUCAGGAGGAACACCAAUGGCGAAGGCGCUCGCUGGGACGUGACUGACGCUGGAGACGCGAAAGCGUGGGGAGCAAACGAUGA